AUGGGUGGGGGAAGGGCGAGGAGGCAGGCGACGGUUGCUCGUUCCGUGCGCGCGCGCGCGUUCUCUGCUUGCCGGGCCGCGCUACAAAAAAAGGCGGGGUUGGCUGGGGAGCGCCAUGAGGGGCAUUUUUUCGGAGUAAUUGCGCGGCGAGAGAAUGGGGCGGUUCCGAUUCCUUUGGUGGCGACUGCUGUGGGCUGUCCUCGGCAUCCUGCUGGGAUCCCCAGUCCAAAGUAUCUGUGCUUCCAACUGCAACUGUACAGAUUUCACCAGAGGAAACAGACAACCUUCAGGAUCAGAAAACAAAGGAAGAAGAGAAGACUUUGAAUGAUCUUGUGGGCCUUUUGCAAGACAUGGUAAAAAAUAUUCC
rnacentral:lncRNA from 1 species